CACGAACGACUCUCGGCAACGGAUAUCUCGGCUCUCGCAUCGAUGAAGAACGUAGCGAAAUGCGAUACUUGGUGUGAAUUGCAGAAUCCCGUGAACCAUCGAGUCUUUGAACGCAAGUUGCGCCCCAAGCCGUGAGGUGGAGGGCACGUCUGCCUGGGUGUCACGCAU
rnacentral:rRNA from 2 species